rnacentral:lncRNA from 1 species
GGAAAAUGGCCAAACUUAGCUGCACUUGGCUUUUAUAUAUCCAAAUGGUGAUUCAAAGGAGUCAAGAUAUAUAUCAUACAAAAAAAGAAUUAUUUCAACAUCUAAAUCAUGAAGAGAUUUACGAUGAAUUUAUCACUUUCAUAAAUAAAAUUCAUGGUUCAACAUUUGAAUAUUAAAGGUGAUGAAAAUCAUCUUUUUUUUAAAUUGUAUUUUUUUUAAUAGCAAAUUCAUAAUAUUUAAAUUUAUACUGUAUUAUUAGGACCAGGACUUAUUUGAACUACACAUCCUAUAUAGUGUGUGGGUUAGUGUGAUGCAAAAAUGAAACAUAACAUGCAUUUAAAAGAAUAAAAGAUGAACUUGGAUUCAAGAUGAAACAGACAUACAUUAUACAUAAUUUUAUUCAUCAACAUAUGAAGAUAGGUUUUAAUCGAUACAUAUCUCAUACAACAAUAUUCCAUACGCGCUCUAUGUAAACCUAUUUCAUUAACUAGAUAGGCCCAACAUGAAACUAGUACGGCAAUAAUCAGAUAAAGAAUAUCACAAUACUUUUUUGAGAAUGGCUCUCACAAUACUUUUAACAACAAAUUAUUUUGAUCUUUUAUUUAACAACAUAAAUAAUUAAUACUAGCCAGUAGUAGAAUUAGUACUAAUUCGAAAUGGAGGACUAGUCUAAUGGCCACCGCCACCUCCAAAGCCCCCACCGCCACCAAAGCCGGCACCAGCACCGGCACCGGCACCACCACCAAAACCACCACCUCCUCCUCCUCCAAAGCCACCUCCACCACCUCCUCCUAAUCCACCUCCACCACCAAAACCUCCACCCACUCCAUACCCUCCUCCAACUCCACCACCAAAACCACCACCCCCUCCUCCGCCAAAACCUCCACCACCACCUGCACCUCCUCCUAGUCCUCCACCUGCACCACCUCCGACUCCCCCUCCACCACCAACACCUCCCCCGCCUCCUAGGCCACCUCCACCACCAAGACCACUGCCUCCACCUACUCCGCCACCUCCUAAGCUGCCCCCACCACCUAGACCACCUACUCCGCCGCCAGCACCACCUCCUAAACCACCUCCUCCAUUGCCGCCACCAAUCUUAUGCUUAUACCCUUUCUUAUGCCCUAAACCUUUUCCCGGAAAAGUCUUACGCGGAAAAUGCUUCUUAUGCAAGAACUUCUCAUUAUUCUCAUCAUCAGCAAACGCCACGUCACCAACAAUCAAAACCACCAACACUAAACCAACAACACAACGAGAAAACGAACCCAUAUUAUCACAAACCAGCAAACCCUGAUCAACACAUGCAUGCAAAACAUGAUUGGUUGUUUGCGUAUUUAUAGCCAAUCAAAUUAUCUCAUAACCACAUAUUCACAUAGUCCCUUCUCCAACUGUCUCCCAACUAUAGACAUUUCAAAUAAAUCCACACAACUGGCAAAAUUACUUUCUGCAUUAUAUUCAUGAGUUCUCGUGCAAUUGGGAUUUUGACUUUGAGAAAUUAAAUUUUGGACUGAUAACCGUCCCUGGCUAUUAUUUAUGUUCAUGAACCAAUUUGAUCAAUAAUAAUUUGUUCGUGCUUAUAAU